AGAGAAAGAAAAUUCGAUUCCCUUAGUAGCGGCGAGCGAAACGGGAAGAGCCCAAACCAACAAGCUUGCUUGUUGGGGUUGUAGGACACUCUAUACGGAGUUACAAAGGACGACAUUAGACGAAUCAUCUGGAAAGAUGAAUCAAAGAAGGUAAUAAUCCUGUAGUCGAAAAUGUUGUCUCUCUUGAGUGGAUCCUGAGUACGACGGAGCACGUGAAAUUCCGUCGGAAUCUGGGAGGACCAUCUCCUAAGGCUAAAUACUCUCUAGUGACCGAUAGUGAACCAGUACCGUGAGGGAAAGGUGAAAAGCACCCCGGAAGGGGAGUGAAAUAGAACCUGAAACCGUGUGCUUACAAGUAGUCAGAGCCCGUUAAUGGGUGAUGGCGUGCCUUUUGUAGAAUGANAGUGUUAGGGGGUUUCCGCCCCUUAGUGCUGCAGCUAACGCAUUAAGCACUCCGCCUGGGGAGUACGACCGCAAGGUUGAAACUCAAAGGAAUUGACGGGGACCCGCACAAGCGGUGGAGCAUGUGGUUUAAUUCGAAGCAACGCGAAGAACCUUACCAAAUCUUGACAUCCUUUGACAACUCUAGAGAUAGAGCCUUCCCCUUCGGGGGACAAAGUGACAGGUGGUGCAUGGUUGUCGUCAGCUCGUGUCGUGAGAUGUUGGGUUAAGUCCCGCAACGAGCGCAACCCUUAAGCUUAGUUGCCAUCAUUAAGUUGGGCACUCUAAGUUGACUGCCGGUGACAAACCGGAGGAAGGUGGGGAUGACGUCAAAUCAUCAUGCCCCUUAUGAUUUGGGCUACACACGUGCUACAAUGGACAAUACAAAGGGCAGCGAAACCGCGAGGUCAAGCAAAUCCCAUAAAGUUGUUCUCAGUUCGGAUUGUAGUCUGCAACUCGACUACAUGAAGCUGGAAUCGCUAGUAAUCGUAGAUCAGCAUGCUACGGUGAAUACGUUCCCGGGUCUUGUACACACCGCCCGUCACACCACGAGAGUUUGUAACACCCGAAGCCGGUGGAGUAACCUUUUAGGAGCUAGCCGUCGAAGGUGGGACAAAUGAUUGGGGUGAAGUCGUAACAAGGUAGCCGUAUCGGAAGGUGCGGCUG
rnacentral:rRNA from 1 species